CGAAGCAACGCGAAGAACCUUACCAGGUCUUGACAUCCCCUGACAACCCAAGAGAUUGGGCGUUCCCCCUUCGGGGGGACAGGGUGACAGGUGGUGCAUGGUUGUCGUCAGCUCGUGUCGUGAGAUGUUGGGUUAAGUCCCGCAACGAGCGCAACCCUCGCCUCUAGUUGCCAGCAUUCGGUUGGGCACUCUAGAGGGACUGCCGGCGACAAGUCGGAGGAAGGUGGGGAUGACGUCAAAUCAUCAUGCCCCUUAUGACCUGGGCUACACACGUGCUACAAUGGGCGGUACAAAGGGCUGCGAACCCGCGAGGGGGAGCGAAUCCCAAAAAGCCGCUCUCAGUUCGGAUUGCAGGCUGCAACUCGCCUGCAUGAAGCCGGAAUCGCUAGUAAUCGCGGAUCAGCAUGCCGCGGUGAA
rnacentral:rRNA from 1 species